GUUAAUCGGAAUUACUGGGCGUAAAGCGCAUGCAGGUGGUUGUUAAGUCAGAUGUGAAAGCCCCGGGGCUCAACCUCGGAAUUGCAUUUGAAACUGGCAAACUAGAGUACUGUAGAGGGGGGUAGAAUUUCAGGUGUAGCGGUGAAAAUGCGUAGAGAUCUGAAGGAAUACCGGUGGCGAAGGCGGCCCCCCUGGACAGAUACUGACACUCAGAUGCGAAAGCGUGGGGAGCAAACAGGAUUAGAUACCCUGGUAG
rnacentral:rRNA from 1 species